GUAAAAUUUUUUUCGUUGCACCUGAUUAACUACCAUAUAUAGAGUUAAUUGUAAUCACAUAUUAGUAUUCUUCUCACAAUUCUUUAUGAUGGACCCUCUGCAUGUGAGUUCCUACAAAAUAAAUUUGUGUAUUCUACAAUCCAAGACAGGUAGGAACCCUUUAAGUCCAACCCUUCCCACUCCCAUCAGACAUGAAAAAAUUCCCCAGGGAAAGCUUUGGUUUCUCCAAUUGAGAGAUAUGCAGUUGUUCCUGAUGACAACGUCAAAAGGAUAAAUUUUGCCGAGGGGAAGAUCUGAUUCUAGAAGUAAGGAAUUUGGAGCUUGAUUUUUGAAAUAAGCUCAAAAUUGAGAUCUUGUUGGAAUUUUUUUAAUUUUUGUAAGAGCAUUUAAAUAUCCAAU